CUUGGUGUUUGGUGCUCGAUUGACGUUGUGAGGAUUAGUUAGUAUAACGGGAUCUUAUCGGGUGAUGCUUGAUGGUGCUUGGUCUUUUCGACGUGUAUGGAUGAUCAGACCAAAGUUGGGGUAUGUCAAAGGAUGAACUGUGUACAUGUGCGUCAGAGGGUAGAGGGACAUGUGACAGGGGAGCAGUGAAUACAGCAUCGAUAUAACUUCUGGCAAGCAACGAGGACAGUGUUUUUAGACAUCUAUAGCAUCUACGUUCACAAAUC